GACGUAGGGGGCGAGCGUUAUCCGGAUUCACUGGGCGUAAAGGGCGCGCAGGCGGUUACGUAAGUCCGGCGUGAAAUCCCAUGGCUUAACUGUGGAACUGCGUCGGAUACUGCGUUGACUUGAGGAUGGUAGAGGCCAUUAGAACUAGCGGUGUAGCGGUGAAAUGCGCAGAUAUCGCUAGGAAUGCCGGUGGCGAAGGCGGAUGGCUGGGCCAAUCCUGACGCUGAGGCGCGAAAGCUAGGGGAGCGAACCGG
rnacentral:rRNA from 1 species